ensembl:lncRNA
GUAUGAAGCAGACCCAAUGAAAGGUGAAAGCUCUUUGGCUAGAAUGGCUCCUCAGAGUUGUUCUGAGUUGGGUUGAGAUGGCCAGGAUUGUAUACCCUUGUAUCAAUCAGUCAUUGGAUGUGGGCCACUUUGGGAAAGGACGUGAUCUUGGACAAGACAGUGUUCUGCUUCUAACAAUCCCUGAGUAGUGUGACAGCUAACGGCUGUCUGCUGACAGCAUUUUCAGAAUCAGAUGGCAGUGCUGUCACCCUCCAGUGAUCUUUCUCAGAGAUGGCUUUAAAUGUGGAAUCUCUGCUUGCUUGUAGCAAUCUGACUUAUUUAAAAGGAUAAGUGGAAGAGAGGACAUGAUAGCAUCUCCUUGUCCCUAGGAGUUGCCUCUGCUGAAGGACUUUGACCCCAGCUAUGAAGUGAUCUAUUUGAGGACAAGCUGUGGUCUGUGGGAAGCUGAGGCUGCAAAACAUCUUCCACGGCCCCUGUGUGAACUCAGCUCAAAAAACAGAUGGAUUUUAAUUUUUUUUUUAACUCUUAACUUUGAAAUUAUUU